rnacentral:rRNA from 1 species
GACGAACGCUGGCGGCGUGCUUAACACAUGCAAGUCGAACGGAAAGGCCCUGCUUUUGUGGGGUGCUCGAGUGGCGAACGGGUGAGUAACACGUGAGUAACCUGCCCUUGACUUUGGGAUAACUUCAGGAAACUGGGGCUAAUACCGGAUAGGAGCUCCUGCUGCAUGGUGGGGGUUGGAAAGUUUCGGCGGUUGGGGAUGGACUCGCGGCUUAUCAGCUUGUUGGUGGGGUAGUGGCUUACCAAGGCUUUGACGGGUAGCCGGCCUGAGAGGGUGACCGGCCACAUAGGGACUGAGAUACGGCCCAGACGGCUACGGGAGGCAGGAGUGGGGAAUAUUGCACAAUGGGCGGAGGCCUGAUGCAGCAACGCCGGGUGCGGGAUGACGGCCUUCGGGUUGUAAACCGCUUUCGCGUGUGACGAAGCGUGAGUGACGGUAAUGGGUAAAGAAGCACCGGCUAACUACGU